CAACAUGCUAGGCUCUUCUUUUCCGGGUUAAAUACCACCAAGUGCCUUAAUUUUUCAACAAUAAAUUAUAUUUUGGAUUCUAUAUAUUAUUGUUUAAAGUCACUUCCUCAUUGAUAAAAAGUGGGAACAUAAAAGCCAAGAACUUUUUCCCAUGACAUGUUUUGGUGAUCUACUCUCAAAAUGAUAUUACUUAAUAUGCUUUCUUCUAUUAAAGGACUUCACUUUGAGAAAAGUCAAUGUUCAUAAUCAGUAGUACACACUAAAUGAUUUAGAACGGAUAAAAUCAAAUGGGGGUUUUGGCUGUUACUACAUGGGAGUGACUGUCAUUUCUUUCCAGCAUGAAUCUAUAGAACGCAGUUUCUGGAACAGCAAACUCUCUGUAACAAUGACCUUGAUUCUAGAAGAUAAACAGCUUUGGGAUGUCUAGUUCCAUUUGGACAGAAUUCUAGAAGAGGAAAAUAAAAGGCUACAAAGUAAGGAAGUCAAACCUGCCUUCGGGGAAGAUAAACAUGCUGACUGGAUGCAUUUGGCUUCUUUUUGGGAGUGAAAGGUUUCAGCAACCUGGAGCCCCCACAGCUGUGGAGACCCUGCUUCUAUGAACUUCCCCUCUCCACGAUGCUGCACAACAGCUUCGUACACCCAGCCGAUUUUGCAGAGAGCAAGCACAACUUAACUAGAGCCUGGGAGGAUAAUCUCAGAAUGAAUUAUUCACCACUGAGACAAUUGUGGCUGCACAGAGGGAAUACAGAUGCCCCCUGUGGGGCUACAUCUCACCAACUUCCUUAUUCAGUUUUAAUGCGCUUUCCAGCCCUCGAAUCACAGACACCCCACACUCAGCCUUCCGUGCUGCACUCACUGAUCUACUAGUUACAAAGCAUUGCACAUUGCAUCACUCACUCAUCUACAGUUCACGGAAUACCUGCAAUCUUCUCACCAGGACACCUGGCUAUGCCCCGUCAGUGGGGGAGUAGCUUAGCACAAUGACUGAAUGCAGAGGCUCUGGAACUGGACUGCUGGAAUUUGAUCCCAGGUCUCAGAUUUAAAACUCGAUUUCCGCCCCCCUCAAAAUCUGUGCAUUUAGAUAUCAUCUGUCACGUGACACGUGGAGGGCAAAUGAUAGAAAACCUCAAAGGGGAUAUUUCCCUGCACGUGAUCAUGCACAGAAAACAGCUUUCCUUUUUCUUCUCUUCUCAGUCUUCCUGAAAAUGCUAGCAACAGCACACUCUUCAUGUUCCCAAACACCCUAUUUCCUCCACCCCAGAGGUGCUCACUGGGGCUCAUCUAUUCACCUCACGUGCAAGAUGAAGAGGGCAAUUUUAUGUAGUAAAGAUAUAUGGGACAAGCCAACCUCAAGUUCACGUCCGUUAAAGCAUUUCUCUGUUGGCAACAUUUUUACAAGCCUCUCACAGCUAUAUGCUUAAUUAAAAUAAAAGGGUGAUAUACA